rnacentral:rRNA from 1 species
AAAUUGAAGAGUUUGAUCAUGGCUCAGAUUGAACGCUGGCGGCAGGCCUAACACAUGCAAGUCGAACGGUAACAGGAAGCAGCUUGCUGCUUCGCUGACAAGUGGCGGACGGGUGAGUAAUGUCUGGGAAACUGCCUGAUGGAGGGGGAUAACUACUGGAAACGGUGGCUAAUACCGCAUGACGUCGCAAGACCAAAGAGGGGGACCUUCGGGCCUCUUGCCAUCAGAUGUGCCCAGAUGGGAUUAGCUUGUUGGUGAGGUAACGGCUCACCAAGGCGACGAUCCCUAGCUGGUCUGAGAGGAUGACCAGCCACACUGGAACUGAGACACGGUCCAGACUCCUACGGGAGGCAGCAGUGGGGAAUAUUGC